rnacentral:rRNA from 1 species
GCCCCAUAGUCUGGGAUACCACUUGGAAACAGGUGCUAAUACCGGAUAAGAAAGCAGAUCGCAUGAUCAGCUUUUAAAAGGCGGCGUAAGCUGUCGCUAUGGGAUGGCCCCGCGGUGCAUUAGCUAGUUGGUAAGGUAAAGGCUUACCAAGGCGAUGAUGCAUAGCCGAGUUGAGAGACUGAUCGGCCACAUUGGGACUGAGACACGGCCCAA